rnacentral:rRNA from 1 species
GAUGAACGCUAGCUACAGGCUUAACACAUGCAAGUCGAGGGGAAACGACAUCGAAAGCUUGCUUUUGAUGGGCGUCGACCGGCGCACGGGUGAGUAACGCGUAUCCAACCUGCCCACCACUUGGGGAUAACCUUGCGAAAGUAAGACUAAUACCCAAUGACGUCUCUAGAAGACAUCUGAAAGAGAUUACAGAUUUAUCGGUGAUGGAUGGGGAUGAGUCUGAUUAGCUUGUUGGCGGGGUAACGGCCCAACAAGGCGACGGUCAGUAGGAGUUCUGAGAGGAAGGUCCCCCACAUUGGAACUGAGACACGGUCCAAACUCCUACGGGAGGCAGCAGUGAGGAAUAUUGGUCAAUGGACGAGAGUCUGAACCAGCCAAGUAGCGUGCAGGAUGACGGCCCUAUGGGUUGUAAACUGCUUUUAUAAGGGAAUAAAGUGAGCCUCGUGAGACUUUUCGAAUGUACCUUAUGAAUAAGGACCGGCUAAUUCCGUGCCAGCAGCCGCGGUAA